rnacentral:rRNA from 1 species
AUGGCAAAGUUCUGGUGGAGCAGUUCUAUAGAUCGAAGGUCUCUACAUUGGAUAGAUUGGAAGUCCUUGUCACUUCCAAAAAUCAGAGAAGGAAUGGGAUUCCGUGAUUUGGAAUGCUUCAAUAUUGCUUUGUUAGGGAGACAUGGCUGGAGGCUUAUCACCGGUCCGAAUUCAUUAUGCUCUCGGGUGUUAAAAGGUAGUUACUUCCCCAACACGGAUUUCAUGCAUGCUACUGUUCCUAGUAACGCCUCGGCUACCUGGCGAGCGAUCGUUACCGGGAGGGCGGCACUGGAUAUUGGCCUGAUAAAGCGGAUUGGCAAUGGCUCGUCCACUGCGUGUGGCAGGAUGGAUGGCUGCCAGGCAAGCUUUCUUUGCGGCCCACUUCACAGAUCGGUUCAGCACCUAUCAAUCUAG